GCCUCGUUAGCUUAGUGGAAGAGCGUUCCCUUCGUAAGGGAAAGGUCUUGUGUUCAAUCCUCAGACGGUGCA
rnacentral:tRNA from 1 species